rnacentral:tRNA from 1 species
AGCUCAGUUGUUAGAGCAUGAGACUCUUAUUCUUAGGGUUGUGAGUUCGAGCCCCAC